AACAAUCGAGUGCUGCUGUUUGACUGAGGAAGAAUAAAGUAGUUGUGAGUUGUGUCAAGGCUUUUCGUCUGGAGGAGGAUCAUUCAUCUCCUGAGUGUCGACAGCAGAUGUCAACCUCUGUUGUAAGGAUCGUGGGCUCGCUGUGUGGACCGGACAGAUGGUUUUCAGCCAUGCUUGGAGGACCUGGAGGGAGAAACGGAGCGCAGCAGCCGCCCCCGUCCUCUCCAGCAGCUCCUCUGUGGUUUCUCUUCUUCGGGAAUUCUUGUAUUUGAUUUUUUGGUUUCGUGAUUUCGUGUUUCUCUCGCUGCCCGCUCAGUGCUGUCACUGUGUCUGUGUCUGUAUAUUUUUAUACGGCUGUGUUUGUUGACUGAAAAGCACUUUGGGUCACCUCCUCAUGUUUUCAUGUGUGCUGUAAAAAACGUUACCUGACAUCUUGUCCACGUGGCACGAUCGGUGUUGUGGCGAUUCAUCACUCUCUUCCUGUUUAUCUUUUCCUAUUUAGUAUUUCCCUCUUUAUAUUUUUGCACAUGAUGCUUCGUCUUUUUAAUUUCAUAGUUUUCUGGUUAUGAAACCAGACAAAAUAUUUAAAUCCGUCAUUUCAAACUAGCUCUGCUGCCUACAGUGUUUUCCCUUCACUGAGGGCUUCAUGACACCAGGAAAACAAACUUUCAGUCCACUUAUUUCCAUAUUUCACAGAAUAAAAUAAAAGUGAAGACUU